UGAGUAAUCGGAGUUUAGCAUGCCAAUCAAAAUUCAAAAGCUGUUUUUUGUAAUAAAUCAAAUAAAAAACUAUGCGAACAUAAAAAAAAAUGUGGAAUCGUGUUAAAAAUCCGAUCGAUUUGGGAGUAUAUAAAGGCCUUCCUAUCCUCGUGGAUCACAUCAAACACAUCUCGCUGAAAAACACUGUUGCUUCGUCGAGAACUUUCAUAUUCCGACCAUAAGAGAAUUCAACAAGUGAAAAAUGAAGUUCAGCGUCUGUGUGGUCACGAUUGCGCUGUUUAUGGUGGCCACUGUUGAUGGUAAGCGUGCAGUGGUCGAAGCGGAUCUUUGCAAACCAGAAAGUCUGGCCGUCUACGCGCCAGAGGGCCUGCGGGGAAUUUGUGCAUCGUUCAUAGAAGGAGGUCUCAGACCGUCAAAUGGGAAAUAUCAUUACGAUGCUCCAUACGCUCGCAAUUAUUGGAAGCCCCGAAAGCCGACCAAGAAGCGGGUUGUACCAUAAAUGAUUUUAUGCCAUCGAGCCACUCCAUUCUCUAUGGCUUAUCAAUCCUAUAUUAAAUACGAUACAAGGCCGUUGUGUGCACAAAUUCAAAUAAUUUCGUUCAUCUUUAUUUCCAUGUUUUGUAAUACUGGCACGCAUUGAAUUGAAAA